CAGACGAAACAGGGGUGCUUUGCUGCCUGUCGGCGUCCGGUGAACGAUGCAUCGGGAUGCGCGGCGGCAAGGCUGAGAGAGUCCCUUCGCACCCGAUCCGGGUAAUACCGGCGCGGGAAGUUUUCGAUUCCACCGG
rnacentral:ncRNA from 2 species